rnacentral:rRNA from 1 species
GAUGAACGCUGGCGGCGUGCCUAAUACAUGCAAGUCGAGCGAACGGACGAGAAGCUUGCUUUUCUGAUGUUAGCGGCGGACGGGUGAGUAACACGUGGAUAACCUACCUAUAAGACUGGGAUAACUUCGGGAAACCGGAGCUAAUACCGGAUAAUAUUUUGAACCGCAUGGUUCAAAAGUGAAAGACGGUCUUGCUGUCACUUAUAGAUGGAUCCGCGCUGCAUUAGCUAGUUGGUAAGGUAACGGCUUACCAAGGCAGCGAUGCAUAGCCGACCUGAGAGGGUGAUCGGCCACACUGGAACUGAGACACGGUCCAGACUCCUACGGGAGGCAGCAGUAGGGAAUCUUCCGCAAUGGGCGAAAGCCUGACGGAGCAACGCCGCGUAAGUGAUGAAGGUCUUCGGAUCGUAAAACUCUGUUAUUAGGGAAGAACAUAUGUGUAAGUAACUGUGCACAUCUUGACGGUACCUAAUCAGAAAGCCACGGCUAACUACGUG